UGGGGAAUUUUGGACAAUGGGCGAAAGCCUGAUCCAGCAAUGCCGCGUGUGUGAAGAAGGCCUUCGGGUUGUAAAGCACUUUUGUCCGGAAAGAAAUCCUUGGCUCUAAUACAGUCGGGGGAUGACGGUACCGGAAGAAUAAGCACCGGCUAACUACGUGCCAGCAGCCGCGGUAAUACGUAGGGUGCAAGCGUUAAUCGGAAUUACUGGGCGUAAAGCGUGCGCAGGCGGUUUGCUAAGACCGAUGUGAAAUCCCCGGGCUCAACCUGGGAACUGCAUUGGUGACUGGCAGGCUAGAGUAUGGCAGAGGGGGGUUAGAAUUCCACGUGUAGCAGUGAAAUGCGUAGAGAUGUGGAGGAAUACCGAUGGCGAAGGCAGCCCCCUGGGCCAAUACUGACGCUCAUGCACGAAAGCGUGGGGAGCAAACAGGAUUAGAUACCCUGGUAGUCCACGCCCUAAACGAUGUCAACUAGUUGUUGGGGAUUCAUUUCCUUAGUAACGUAGCUAACGCGUGAAGUUGACCGCCUGGGGAGUACGGUCGCAAGAUUAAAACUUAAAUGAAUUGACGGGGUCAUA
rnacentral:rRNA from 1 species